GACGAACGCUGGCGGCGUGCUUAACACAUGCAAGUCGAGCGGUAAGGCCCUUUCGGGGGUACACGAGCGGCGAACGGGUGAGUAACACGUGGGUGACCUGCCCUCAGCUCUGGGAUAAGCCUGGGAAACCGGGUCUAAUACUGGAUAUGACUCCAUGACGCAUGUUGUGGGGUGGAAAGCCUUGUGCGGCUGAGGAUGGGCCCGCGGCCUAUCAGCUUGUGGUGGGGUGAUGGCCUACCAAGGCGACGACGGGUAGCCGGCCUGAGAGGGCGACCGGCCACACUGGGACUGAGACACGGCCCAGACUCUACGGGAGGGCAGCAGUGGGGAAUCUUGCGCAAUGGGCGAAAGCCUGACGCAGCGACGCCGCGUGAGGGAUGACGGCCU
rnacentral:rRNA from 1 species